UACCCAGAUAUUUGGUCAAAUGCUCUUCUGGGUGUUUCUAUGAGGAUAUUCUUGGGUGAGAUUAACAUUUAAAUGGGAAGACCUUAACAAGAGAUUAACAUUUUAGUCAGUAAAGCAGAUUGCCUUAUAACAUGGGUGGGCUUCAUCCAAUCAGUUUAAGGCCUGAACAGACGGUAAACCGACCCUCCUCCAGGUUCCAGCCAAGGUCCAGAAAAGAUCCCACCAACAAAAAUAUGCCCUUGGCAUCUUCCUGAAGAGUAAGUUUCAUGCUGACAAAUAAACUCCUUUAAGACAA